CCGGAUGAAACUACUGACGAGCCUGAUGUAACUGACGCUCCGGAUGCAGGUGACUACGAUGUAACUGAUGGACCAGAUGCAUAUGACGAGGAGGGAGAUGAUGACGGUAGUGAUGGCUCCGAAUCGUCAGAUAGCAGUGACAGUAGCGACUCAAGCGCUGAUGACGACAGCGAUGACAGAUCAGAUGGUGAAAGUGGAGAUGAUGAAAGCGGUGAUUCUGAUGACAGCGAUGGCAGUGAUGGAAGCGAUAGUAGCGAUAGCAGCGACUCCAGCGACUCUAGCGACUCUAGCGAUUCUAGCGACUCCAGCGAUUCCAGCGAUUCCAGCGAUUCUGACUCCUACGAAGAUGACUCUGAAAGCGAUAGCAGCGAGUCUGAUAGCGGAGAUGAUGACAGUGAAUCUGACAGCGAUUCCGAUUCCGAAAGCUACAGCGAUAGCUACAGCGAUAGCUCUGACGAUGACGACAGUGAAUCAUCCUCAGACAGCGACAGUUACUCCGACAGCGAUAGCAGCUCUGAUAGCGAGUCCGAAAGCGAGAGCGAGUCUGAAAGCGAAUCUAGCAGCAGUGAAAGUGGAGAUGAUGAUGAUAGCGAUAGCAGUGACAGCGAUAGUUCCAGCAGCAGCAGCAGCAGCAGUAGCAGCAGCAGCAGUGACAGCGACAGCGACAGCAGCAGUGGAAGCGACAGCGAUGAUGACAGCGAUGAUGACGACAGCAGUGACAGCGAUAGCGACAGUGACAGCGAUAGCGACAGUGACAGCGACAGCUACAGUGAGGAAGAUGAUGACAGCUCUGAUGAUGAUGAUAGCUCUGAUGACAGCUACAGUGAUGAGUACAGCGACAGCAGUGACAGCGAUAGCAGUGACAGCAGCGACAGCAGCGAUAAUGACGACAGCGAUGAUGAUGACAGCAGCGAUAGCAGCGAUGAAAACUAAAUCAUUUUAUAAGUUAUCCAUCUCGCCUUGAAUUCCAACUUAAUUAGGAAAGGGAAACCAAGAAAAAGACAAUUUAAUCUCAGUUUACAAAUGCGCUAAAAUCAACUUCGGACUUUAUUCCUGAUGUUCAAAUAUUUCUUUUGACGCUGCUAUUCAUUAUACAUAUAUAUAUAAAAAAUAAAUAGCGGAAUGCUUCCGUUAUUUCAGAGGUGAAAAUGUAUACUAGGAAAACAAAAACAACCAAGAUAAAUCAUUUGGAAAAAUUCUUUCGUUCGCGUUUUGUGUCCAAGCAUUCUGACCAGUAUUAGGCGAUGUCAAUCACAUCUUGAUCCAUUCUGUACUUUUUGGUGAGUUACACGAGGAGGAAGCUUCUAGGAAAGGGUUUUGUUUGCGUAAGAGGAGUGUGUCUAAAGAUACAAUGUACGAGAUAAUUAUUUAUUUCUUAUUACUUAGAUUGUAAAUAAAAUGCUCAGUUGUUACAAUUAUUAUCAUCUUCUUCCUGUUAUCAUUUCAAUGAUGCUUUGAUCAGAAAAAUAAACAAAAAUUGACAAUCUGAC
rnacentral:sRNA from 1 species